AUCCAGUUGACGAGUCCUAAAUGGAACGAAACGCGUGUCCUGGAU
rnacentral:hammerhead_ribozyme from 1 species